CGUAGGUGGCAAGCGUUGUCCGGAAUUACUGGGUGUAAAGGGCGUGUAGGCGGGAAAUUAAGUCAGAUGUGAAAUUCCGGGGCUCAACCCCGGCACUGCAUCUGAAACUAGUUUUCUUGAGUACUGGAGAGGAAAGCGGAAUUCCUAGUGUAGCGGUGAAAUGCGUAGAUAUUAGGAGGAACACCAGUGGCGAAGGCGGCUUUCUGGACAGUAACUGACGCUGAGGCGCGAAAGCGUGGGGAGCAAACAGGAUUAGAUACCCUGGUAGUCCACGCUGUAAACGAUGGAUACUAGGUGUAGGAGGUAUCGACCCCUUCUGUGCCGCAGUUAACACAAUAAGUAUCCCACCUGGGGAGUACGGCCGCAAGGUUG
rnacentral:rRNA from 1 species